GACGAACGCUGGCGGCGCGCUUAACACAUGCAAGUCGAGCGAAGCGGCGGGCGGGGGACUAACGCGUGAGUAACGUGCCUUCGACAUGGGGAUAGCCUCGGGAAACCGGGAUUAAGACCAAAUGGGCUAAGAUGGGCUCGCGUCCCAUUAGCUGGUUGGGAGGUAACGGCCCACCAAGGCGACGAUGGGUAGCCGGGCUGAGUGGGUGAACGGCCACACUGGAAGUGAGAAACGGGCCAAACUCGACGGGAGGCAGCAGUGGGGAAUAGUGCACAAUGGAGGGAACGCGGAUGCAGCGAGGCCGCGUGAGCGAAUAAGGCUUUCGAGUCGUAAAGUUCUUUUAUAUGGGAAGCGGUACCAUAAGAAAAAGCCCCGGCUAACUACGUGCCAGCCGCCGCGGUAAUUC
rnacentral:rRNA from 1 species